CGUAACGGCCCGCCGAAAAAAAAAUUCCGAUUACGCGCGUAAUGGCCCGGCCGAUCCGCCGAGGACCGACCGGUGUGCCGCGCCCGGGCUCCCGCCGCGGUGCCGGUCGCACUUCGCCGCGGAAGGUCAAGCUCAAAAAAUUUUUUUUUCCCCGGCCGAUCCCCCGAGGACCGACCGGUGUUCCGCGCCUUCGGCCUCGCCGCGG